rnacentral:misc_RNA from 1 species
CUGUUCUUCAAGCCCGGCUUGUGUGUUGGGCCUGCCGUCUAGUGGACGGUGGCCCGAAAAGCAGUGGCGGCGUCGCGUUCCGGUCCUUAAGCGUAUGGGGCUCUGUCACCCGCUUUGGAGGCCGGCCGACUCCGUAGCCCAUCGUGGAUUACCACAUUCUUUUGA